GAAACUCCGGACACAUCUGAACAUCUGAAGGAACAAACUCCGGACACACCAUCUUUAAGAGCUGUAACACUCACUGGGAGGGUCUGCGGCUUCAUUCUGGAAGUCAGCGAGACCAAGAACCCACCGGAAGGAACCGGUUCCAGACAUACUGGGAUCGUGUGGAUACGUGGGAUCUGCAUAAUGGAAUUCAUAAUUUUGUUCUAUCAAACCUGCAAAACAGUACCAGCACCUAUAGAUAGCAUGUUGUAGAAAAUGGCAAGAAUAUGUAUAAAAAUGGAAAUGGAUCCUAACCAUCUCACCUUACUUGCUCCUAGAGAAGUCCAACAGGUGAUGGUCUUGUUUUCCCAAGUUGCUACAGAGCUUCUGCAGCUCCAAGCAUGACCACUAUAUUUGGCUGCUUAAAAGCAUGACAAGGGCAGAAAUCAUAAAGGCUUUGCCCAGAGGGCCUUGAUUGUCCUUGCCUUCUUGUCCUUUGGUGAGAACUUCAUUGGUGGCGGCUCCAAAAAUCAGUAGACUUUCUGUGAUGAAUUCACCAUAAGAACUGUGGGACCCAGCCUCCCUUGAAGGAUGUCCUAUAUGAUGCCUGUUUUCCAUGGGAGGAAGUGAAGUCAAGAAACAAGAUAUCCUCAAACUACUGUUAGGAUCAGUGUCUGCAUAGAUCUGUCACACAGAAAUGCAAGGAAACAAUUUGUGCAAAGCAUUAAAAAAAAGAGGGGGACACUGAGAGUAUAACAAGUGCUCCUGAGAGAGGACAGACGGAGAGGACGCGUGGGCAGGGAUGGCUGCCCUGAGCAGCUGAUGUUCGAGCUAAGAUCUGAAAGGUGCAUGAUUUCCCACUUACCUCCCACAACCACUACCACCCACAUUGUCCACAGUAUUCAGCUGUCUUGGGGAAGAUCACAGUUAUUUGAAUGGGACUGCAAAAAGAGUGAAGGACACAGCUUUUAACAUCAGAUUCAAAUCCUACAAUUUGGAACUCAUGGGCACUUCUAGAUUGGGUCUUGCAGAGAUUUUUUACAACAGAAAGAAUGGAAAGGCAAAAGAAAACAUUGAGUAAUAACCAACCCAAGCAAGUCCAGCUUCCUUCUGCAGAAGAUAAUCAGGAUGACUCCACCUUUGUACCUGACUGAGGAACUUAGUGAGCCCUGAAGAAAUGAUGAUUAAAGAGACAACGAAGAGGCCAGGCGCGGUGGCUCAUGCCUGUAAUCCCAGCACUUUGGGAGGCCGAG
rnacentral:antisense_RNA from 1 species